UCCGGUUUGUCACCGGCAGUCUCAUUAGAGUGCCCUUGCGUAGCAACUAAUGAUAAGGGUUGCGCUCGUUGCGGGACUUAACCCAACAUCUCACGACACGAGCUGACGACAGCCAUGCAGCACCUGUGUUCCCGUUCCCUUGCGGGCACAGCCUAAUCUCUUAAGCCUUCGGGACAUGUCAAGGGUAGGUAAGGUUUUUCGCGUUGCAUCGAAUUAAUCCACAUAAUCCACCGCUUGUGCGGGUCCCCGUCAAUUCCUUUGAGUUUUAAUCUUGCGACCGUACUCCCCAGGCGGUCAACUUCACGCGUUAGCUGCGUUACCAAAAGAUUGCUCUCCCGACAACUAGUUGACAUCGUUUAGGGCAUGGACUAC
rnacentral:misc_RNA from 1 species